GGAAUAGCGCCUUCUCCUCAGGCAGAGAUCGGAGGAGGUGUACGAAAGGGAAUGGCACCUUUGCCUCAGGAGGGAUAUUGCACAUAUCCACGAAGGAACUGAUGCAGGCAUGCACAGAUGCUCAGAAAAAUGCUAAGGAGGACGAAUUUUAAUGGAAGAGGGCUAGGAACACCGAGCCUGAACAGCUCCUUGCUCUUGAAGUUGGUGCCAUUACAUCUUCUU